rnacentral:tRNA from 1 species
GCCCGGGUGGCGGAAUUGGUAGACGCACGGGACUCAAAAUCCCGCGUUGGUAACAACGUGGGGGUUCGAUUCCCCCUCCCGGCACCA